rnacentral:rRNA from 1 species
AGAGUUUGAUCCUGGCUCAGAGCGAACGUUAGCGGCGCGCUUAACACAUGCAAGUCGCACGAGAAAGGGCUUCGGCCCCGGUAAAGUGGCGCACGGGUGCGUAACACGUAGAUGAUCUACCCUUGAGCGGGGGAUAACGUUUCGAAAGGAACGCUAAUACCGCAUAACACCGGCAACGGUCAAAGCUGGCCUCUCCCUGGAAGCUAGCCCUUGAGGAUGAGUCUGCGGCCCAUCAGCUAGUUGGUAAGGUAACGGCUUACCAAGGCGAAGACGGGUAGCUGGUCUGAGAGGAUGAUCAGCCACACUGGAACUGAAACACGGUCCAGACUCCUACGGGAGGCAGCAGUGGGGAAUAUUGGACAAUGGGCGCAAGCCUGAUCCAGCGACGCCGCGUGAGUGACGAAGGCCUUCGGGUUGUAAAGCUCUGUUGAGGGAGAAGAAAAAAGCUGGGAGUAACUGCCUGGUUCUUGACGGUAUCCCUUUAGAAAGCACCGGCUAACUCUGUGCCAGCAGCCGCGGUAAGACAGAGGGUGCAAACGUUGCUCGGAAUUACUGGGCGUAAAGCGCGUGUAGGCGGGCCCCCAAGUCGGACGUGAAAGCCCCGAGCUCAACUCGGGAACUGCAUCCGAAACUGAGGGCCUUGAGUGAUGGAGAGGGAAGCAGAAUUCCUGGUGUAGAGGUGAAAUUCGUAGAUAUCAGGAGGAACACCGGUGGCGAAGGCGGCUUCCUGGACAUUGACGGACGCUGAGACGCGAAAGCGUGGGGAGCAAACAGGAUUAGAUACCCUGGUAGUCC